UAUUUACAUUCUCUUAUUAGAGCAGAAGGUCCGAUAUUGUGAAGAAGCAGUUCUUUCAGUUCGAUGUGGCAGGUGAUACUAAGAGUGCAACGGUAAAACAUAGGCACAAAGAAAGACUGCAUGAGAGUUUGAGUGUGUCACUCUCCAAGUUUAAUCUUCAUUUGGGAACUCAAUAAGGGAG